CUGUAGAAAGGGGUACAAAGUCGGCAAUUUCAAUUUCGAGAAAAACGUGUUUAAAGUUUUGUUGAUUUAUUUCACUGACUUUAAUUGGUAUAAGUCACCAUUUCAUUGUUAGAUUUAUAAAUUUUAACGUACAACAAUUGUUUAAAUUGCAUCCAUAAAAUAUACAUAUUCUCCGACAACGAUGUUACCGAUAGCGACGAGUAUAAUAACAACAAGAUUAUCUCCCUUAUGCAUAUACGUAAUUUCCGGUUGGUAAUUGACAAACAAGAAAUUUUCAAACGUUUUUUGUCUUCAUUUGCUGCUUUUCGAGGAUGCUUCUGUCGAGUUUUGACAGGUAAAUAUCAUUGCAGUUGUAUAAAUUUAAUAUUAAAUUUUAUUAUGUUAAAAUGAUAUAGAAAAAGGCGAAAAUAUUCGUCAAUUGUCAUAAACCCGGAAGUAAACGGAGCAAGACAAAUCGGCCCCUUACCAAAUCGGCCUACUACCAAAUCGGCCCCUAAGACGUUUCGGCCCUGCCAUUUCGUCCCCUUAAUUAAAAUGACUCGAGACGUUUCGGCCCCUUAGUGAUUUUGAACAGAGACAUUUCGGCCCCUUAAUUUGUUUUUAUUUUUUAUCUUGAGUAUAAAGAAAAACAUUGUAGGUCGUCUUAUAAAUGUAAAUGAGAUAUGUAAAUAAGUUGUUAAUAACAUCUUUAAAUUUACAUAGACAAAUAUGCAUGAAAAACAUUGAUAUGACUGAUAUAAAAAUAUAAUUAAAAUCUAAAUACUUAUUAACCCUGAUUUUUAAUAUAAAAUAUUAGAAAAUCUAAGAAAGUUUAUUUGUUAUAACUGUUAAUUAUUAAUUGAUCAUUAAAGACUUCAAAGAAAAUGUGCCUAUGAACCAUGCGUUCUUUACAAGGCAAACGGUAAGUGUUGUGGGUGUGAAAAAGACAUUCAAAGACGUGUGAAUGAAUAAUUGUCUUUAAUUUGUUAAUGAUAUUUACAGUUGAUUAAAGAAGAUUUGAGUAAUAUAAACACCGUUAAAUCGUUUCUAAAAGUGGGUACCAUUUGUUUUAAACGUGUUGCUGUGCUACUGUUAAAUUUUCGUGUAUUGGACAUUAUUAACACGUUGUUGUUCUACUUUUAUUUUAUUGUGUAAUGGAAUGUUGUUAAAAAUUGUAAUGUCUGAUUCGGAUUUUUGUAUUGAGUGAGAUAAGGUUGUGGGACCGUUGGCAGCAUCGAGUCUGCGAUACAGGACAGUAUCCAUGUUACCUGCCCGGCCCCCUCCAUUACAGUUGGGACAUUGCCUGCCAGUCUUCUUUCCCAAUCAUGCCCAACCGAUUGGUCCAAUAUUGUUCAAAACUUGAUGGAAAUGCGGUGUCAUCGUAGUUUGGAGUAUGUGCAGAGCACUCGGGACAACAAGUAGUUCGUUUCUUCGAUGAGACUGAAUUGAAAGGGAGCAGACACUGUUGUGAGCAUGAUGAUCACUUCUUCAAGUACCAUGGCUUGGAGAUAAAAACCCGAAAUAAAUUGGCACUUUGGUCUUAGCAGCAAACAGGCCUGGCUUUGUGCAGUGCAGGUUUGCUGCAUGGGUGAUGGUUUAGUUUACCUGAUGAAAACCAGAGCAGUUGUGUACCCUGAACUCCUUUCCGAAUUCUUCAUCAAGGGGAUGGAUCUUGAAUGGCAGUGGUAUUAACAUGACAAGAUCAGAGAAUACAGCAGAUUCGACAUUGAAAGAGACAGUGUGCCCUAGACAGUCUCAACCAAAGCAUUGAACAAACUGUACAACCUGUUAAUUAACUUUUUAGAGCUGUUUGUUUGGACUAGUGUUUGUCAUUCAGAAAUAAGUAAUAACAUUAUUUCUCAGUAUAAGAAAUCUGUAGGAAUUAGAAGCUGAUAUUUACUGUAACUAUAUAAACAAACCUCUUAGAGGUUUAGCCUUAGACAGGGAGCUACAGAAAAGAGACAGGUUUGCAUGUUUCAAUAGGACACCCUUCAUUUAUCUGUGAAGAAUUUUAACAUUUUGAAUGUUACAGAAAAUGUUAGGAAUAUUGUAUAAUGUUUAAUUGAAGUACUAUUAGGUUUCAAGUGCCAAAUAUGUAAAGCCUGUGUGUAUUUAUAAUCUUGUGAAUAUAAAGUUGUUAUCAAAACAAAAUCAAUAUUUGACUGUCUUAAGCUUUUAAUUCUAUGAAGGCAGGAGGUUGCCAAUCUUACUCUUCAUGACGGGUGCUUCCAAAAAAGAACAGGGUGCAGAAACUUCCAUAACUCUUGCUAGAACCCUAAUAUCCUUUUUCAUCAAAUUACAGUAACAUUGACAAUUAACAAAUGAUGCAGUGAUAAUUUUCUUAUGCUAAUAUCAUCAAUUUUUAUUGUCAUUAAGUUUUCCUCUAGAAUUGAUUUGUACAUGACUGUAAUGUAUUGAAAAUUGAUACUUGUGGUUGCCAUGGUUACAACUUGUUUCUUAGUGUAGUAAUAUGUUAUAUAUAUAUAUAAAUACAAUAUUGCGUUAUGUAAACUUAUAAUAUUUUAAGAAAUAAUGAUUCAAACACAUGUACAGAGACAAUAAAUACACUACUCUGUAUUUUUGUUGCCAUGGCAAUGUUUCUGUGUAUAUUUGUUACAUUUAUUUUUUUUAUUACAGGAUUGUCCAUUUUAAUAGUGAAAUUAUAAUGUGUAUAAUAAGCAUAGCUACAAAAUGCAUAGAUACUUAAAUUACCUAUUUCUGGAUGUACAUUUUCUUCAUAUUUCGAUAAUAGAAUAGGUUUUGUACACUGAGCCCCCUUGGACUUAAAUCACCAUAGCAACAAAAGUCUUAAACAUUUUGAAUAAUUUUUUUUUUAAUAUAUUUGUAAAGUGUCUGCCAAUGCUUAGGUUAUUUCAGUACUUUUUAAGAGCGGCGUGUGUGAUCCCUUUUACGUUUGAUAUUGAAUUGCAUCGUAUUGUGGUUGUCAUGGUAACAUUUUGAUUGCCAUUUAAAACUUCAAUCAUAAUUUUACAAGAAUUUUGUCACCAGUUCAAUAAUAUGUUAUUUUGUGUAAGAUAUUUAACUACAAAUUAUAUAAAGACAUAAAAAACA